ensembl:lncRNA
UCUUAGAUACAUUUCUUCCUUUUGUACAACUGCUGACCCCCAAAUUACCAAAACUAUUACAACUACCAAUGAAGAGGGAAAAAAAAGAAAGAAAAAAGAAAAAAAAAGAAAAGAAAAAGAAAAGAAAGGAAAAAGAAAGGGAAAAAAUGAAAAAGAAGAAAAAAAUCUAUUAUUGUGACCUCCUUCGAACAACUGCAAAACAAUGUAUUCGCUCUUUAUACAGUAUCAUGCAAAUACACUUCAAAAACCACAGGAACCCCAGGGUGUUUGCCACACAGACACAGUGAAAGAAGGAAAGAUGAAAGGAAUUGGACAGACUUUCUGUAUGAGUUGCUAAAUUAAGAAAUGACUCUAUGCAUGCACAUGGUAUGUAUCAACUCUCAUCUUUACCCAAAAAAGAAUGCAGAUCUCCACAGCACGUACCGGACACAGAAAUACAUCAUAUAUCUCCACACACCCACAUAUUCAAGGGUUUUAUGUUUUAAAAAUGUUAGGGAAAAAACUCUGCAACUCUUUAUGAACUGGAGUUAACUUCCUCAUAGAUGUGGAUGUAUUGACGUUCAAUUGAAAUAUGGAACUUUUGUUGCAUUAAGUGAGCAAUACUUUGCAGAGCUUCCUCCAAGUCCCACUGACAAACACCACUGGAUAUGGCACUUUCUGGACUCACUAUUGUACUAUAAUGCAAAUUACUUAGUGUUUGGCUUCAAUAUUUGCUGUUAAACUGAAUGACUGGCUACUGGUUACUCUAGUGCAGUGAUAAAGAGUCCAGAAACUGUGCAAUUGAGAAAAGGGUCACAGCGAAUCAUCCAUCACAAUGUAUCUUUCCAAUGUCAUGUUUUUUCAUAUUUUUUUCAGACUUUUUUUGAGCAAAAUUUGAUACCAUUUGUUAUUUGGGGUUCAAAUCUACCAUAUGCUUUCCUGCGCAUGUAAAAACAGACAAAUGCAUGGGAAACCAUGACAGACCAUCUCACUCAUAGACCUGUUGCAAUGACUUACUAUCAGAAGGCAUGGUUCAGAAAACCAUGUAAAUAUAGAUAGAGGAAGGACAUAGGCAAUUUGACUUGCCUCGGUGCCAUACUGUUCAUGCCUCGUGGUUCUUAAAAAAAUAUCAUGUCUGAUGGUGAUUCUCUAGGGCUAUAGUAAGGCAAACUUUGAAUGGACAGUUUGAGAAAAAAGGACUGAUGAGCCAAAAAGAGAGCUGAUGUUUUCAAAUAUUAGUUGUACUAAUAGGAGAUAUUACUCCUCCUGUAUUAUCUUAGCAUUCUUCAUGUACAUUUAUGCACAGCAUACGUGUUCUCACCUUGUGGCCUUAUAUGAUAUACAGAUAUAUAAAGAUACGGUAGCAGAACAAUUACUGCUAGAGUUUAAAAGUGUCGUUGAAAGUGUUAUUUAAAACACAUCUUUCCAAUUUUGGUGAAAUAUCCACUUAAUGCUUUUGCAGCCUGGCUUUAAUUCCCUAAAUGAUGUCACAUCCACCUCAACUCAAAGUAAUAGUUUCUUUAUAAAGCUUAUUUCCACAUCUUCAUUCUAACACGUGGAUUUUAUUUCCUAUACUGAGUGUUACUGUAAUGAUCAGCUUUCGUUCUCUCCAAAUAAAUAUUCAGUAAAUCUGCCUCCUAUGUAUUUACAUUUCUUCCUCAUUUAUUUUCCCGAAUCACUACCUAUUAAAAUGUGCCUGGAAAAACAUGACUUUUUCACUUUCUGUGUGUGUUUUGCAAUCAAUUUUUUUUUUCAGAGUGAAAAUAAUGUCAGCACAUCACAACUUGCUUCAAAAUUAUACUGAGUCAACUGUCACAGUACAAAUUGUAAUAAUAAUUCUGUUUUUCUAUUUUUGUCCCUUCUUCCCAUCAGCAGUUUCUCUACUGAAGAAUAUUUCAGUACACAAGCAAUCCAGGAACAUAUCUUUUCUAUUGAUAAGCCUUAAGCUAGAGGAUCAUCACAUUAUCACAACCAGAAGACAGCUUCUUUGCUUGAGUAUCAGGAAGACGGGAGGAGAUUCGAGACAAUGUUUUGCCCUUCAGGUUUUGUUUACUACCUUGAUGAAAUACAAAGUUGGCUGCAGGAUAAGUCACGAGGACAGUAUGCCAAGAUGUGAGAACCUGCAGGAAGUCUUAGGGUCCCAACAGCCUUUUGAAACAACAGCACCUCCCUAAAACAUUACCAAACUGACAGAUGUUUUUCCUUUUCUCUUUGUGGAGAAUCAGAGACCUGUAAGAAACAUGAAAAGAAAAAAAAAAUGUAAAGUCUAAUUUAAAAGCACAAAAGUAAGAACUAUCCAUAUCCAAUCCUAUCACAUCCUUCUUUUAGUCCUCCAGCUACUCUUCUUCCAAAAAUUCUUUAAAUUAAAUAGAAGCACAUUUAAUGUUUCAAAGAAAGUAACUAGCAG